rnacentral:rRNA from 1 species
UACAGGGGGGGCAAGCGUUGUUCGGAAUUACUGGGCGUAAAGGGCCAGUAGGCGGCCGACUAAGUCCGACGUGAAAUCCCCAGGCUUAACCUGGGAACUGCGUCGGAUACUGGUUGGCUUGAAUUCGGGAGAGGGAUGCAGAAUUCCAGGUGUAGCGGUGAAAUGCGUAGAUAUCAGGAGGAACACCAGCGGCGAAGGCGGCGCUCUGGGCCGGAACUGACGCUGAGGAGCGAAAGCGUGGGUAGCAAACAGG